UCUAGCCCUAAUAUUUGUACUAAAGUAUUAAAAGUUAUGGUCUCUAAAUUUAAAGGAUUUGGCGGUGAUUUAAUCCCAUUAGAGGAACCUGUUAAGUAAACGAUAAACCACGCAGAAUCUUACCUAUUUUCCAGUUUGUAUACCGUCAUUAUUAGAUAACUUUUCAAGAAAUAGUUAUUGAAAUAAAACCUUUAGUAUAUUAGAUCAAGGUGCAGCUUAUAAAUAGGAAAAUAAUGGGUUACAAUAAAACUUACUUAAACGAAUAUAGAAUUUAAAUAUUUUAUUUAAGGUGGAUUUAAUAGUAAAUUUAGUUUAAUAAGCUAACUUGACAAUGGACCUAAAUCGUGUACAUAUCGCCCGUCACUUGCAUUCCCAAAUGAAAUAAGUCGUAACAUAG
rnacentral:rRNA from 1 species